GGGUGGGUUAGCUUAGUGAUUAGAGCUUAGGUCUUUCGACCUGAAGGUCCCGGGAUCGAAUCUCGCCAAAGGCA
rnacentral:tRNA from 1 species